GGAUUAGAAUCAAGGAAACUAGAAGUCUCUCAUCUCAUCUCAAGACAGAUAAAGUCUAUAUUUAAGGAUGAUACGAUCCAUGAAAGAGAAGGAAAAGUCAGGGCUUAGUUAAGCAAUGUGGAGAUGAGAGGAGGGAUAAGGAAAGAGAAAGCUCAUGCAGAGAUACUGUUUUGAAGAUAACUCGUGGGGAAGAAAUGGGCAGUCAUCUGGGCAGCCAGCAAAACCUAUUCCAUGAACCCUUGUUAACAGCCAGGUCCUUGCCUGCUGUGCAGUCUGAUGAAAGACUUCAGCCUCUGCUCAAUCACCUCAGCUUUCUACCAAAUCCUUCCCACUUUACAUGCAUCAGUUACAUAAAGCCUUGCGGGAAAAUCACCAUCUUUGUCAUGGAGGCCGAAUGCAGUAUGUCCUAUUUCUGAAGGGCAUUGGUUUAACUUUGGAACAGACAUUGCAGUUCUGGAAGCAAGAAUUUAUCAAAGGAAAGAUGGAUCCAGACAAGUUUGAUAAAGGUUACUCUUAGAACAUCCGUCACAGCUUUGGAAAGGAAGGCAAGAGGACAGACUAUACACCUUUCAGUUGCCUGAAGAUUAUUCUAUCCAAUCCACCAAGCCAAGGGGAUUAUCAUGGGUGCCCAUUCCGUCACAGUGAUCCAGAGCUGCUGAAGCAAAAGUUGCAGUCAUACAAGAUCUCUCCUGGAGGGAUAAGCCAGAUUUUGGAUUUAGUAAAGGGGACACAUUACCAGGUAGCCUGUCAAAAAUACUUUGAGAUGAUACACAAUGUGGGUGAUUGUGGCUUUUCUUUGAAUCAUCCUAAUCAUUUCUUUUGUGAGAGCCAACGUAUUCUAAAUGGUGGUAAAGACAUAAAGAAGGAAUCUAUCCAACCAGAAACUCCUCAACCCAAACCAAGUGUCCAGAAAACCAAGGAUGCAUCAUCUGCUCUGGCCUCUUUAAAUUCCUCUCUGGAAAUGGAUAUGGAAGGACUAGAGGAUUACUUUAGUGAAGAUUCUUAGGCAGUUUUGUAACCCUUUUUCCUCAAUAGCCUGUUUCCUGUUUUUAAGAUUUUGCCUUUGUUGUUGAAAAAGUGUUGCACUCUGUUGUGUAAUUGUGACACAAUUACAGCUGAUUGCAGCCUCAACCUUCCCAGCUCAAGUGAUCCUCCUACCUCAGCCUCCCAAGUAGUUGGGACCACAGGUGUGCACCCCAUAUCCAGCUAUUUUUUUUCAAUUUUUUUUGUAGAGGGGGGGUCUCCCUAUGUUGCCCAGGCAGAUCUCAGACUGCUGGGCUCAAGCGAUCCUCACACCUCAGCCUCCCAGAGUGCUGGGAUUACAGUUGUGAGCCACUGUGCCUGGCCUUUCUUUUUUUAACCUUUUUGUUUAACUUCUCUCUUCACUGCAUCCCAAUCCAUCUACAGGCAUGCACACUUAUUAGGAAAGCAGGUUUGAGGUAACGAGACUUUCACUAUAUUUUGCUUUGACAGAAGGAAAGAGGAAGAGUUUCUAUUAAAAUCUGUCACUUGAGUGAUGUCAUUCAAGUCCUAUUUUAGGAGAUAAAAACACCUUUGGGGACUGGUUAAAGUCCCCCAGAAACUACAAUAAAGAACAACUUUUGUUUUAACUCUUAAUCAUUUUGUAAUUUUGACUCAAUCCUUUUCUGGACCAUUUUUGUUAAUAAAUAUCAAAGUGUACAUGACAGUGUCUGCGUAUAAUUGGGAGAGUCUUAUGUCGUAACAGAUUGGAUAUUACUUCAGUUUUAAAGUGGUAAUUUGGAGUAUCCAACACACUGCUGAUCACUAAUGAAGAUUUUAAACUUUUCUUUAACUUUUUUUAAGAGUUGACCUAUUUGUGGUUAUUCUACAUCAGGCACCAGACUCUCCUGAGUGAACUGUGACUUGGGAAUUAAAAUAAAGUAUAGCCAGUUAUAUUUAUUAAGGAAUAAUAGGGAUAUUUUAUUAUGUAAAAUAAUGGCACGUCUUAUCUGCUGCCAUUACUCUGGGGACAGGUUCAUGAAGAAUAGACAAUUACCAAGCAAGAAGAUUGUACAUAUAAAAUAAAGUGUUUAUUUUACCCUCUAACUUCCAUACCUUAUUACUUCUGUAGUUGCUGUGAAUUACCAAAUAGAUUUGGUAAAUUAAUUAACUUCAGCAAUGAAUAGUGAUACUUAUAGUAACCCCCUCGUUUCAGUGCCAGCAAUGGAAUUUAAUAAAUGUUGUGGAUGAUUACAGACAUACGAGAUCAAUGCCCUGUUCUCUCUGCCUGCGUUUGUCAAGGGAGUAAGGUGAAGUUGAUGAUCCCUGGCACGUAUGCCUUGUGGAGCAAUGCCAUUGUGGAUACCCUCAUCUAAAUAGUGAUUUCCUCCUGGGGCUCUACUCACUCACCAAUAGGAUUUGGGGUGCUCAGGAAACCCUGUUUGAAACAUAGUUCUUCCUCAUCUAUUACCUUGUAAUGUGUGAAAAGUAUUAGUCUAUUUCUGUCUUCUUUUCCUGGUAAAGAGGGAUACUUUUAUCCUUUUGAAUCAGAUACUAACUAAAUUGAAAAGAGCACAUUGUAUUCAGAAAACUAGACUGUUAGCAGGACCGUAUUUUUAAUCGUGAUAAACUGCAUCACGAUGAAAAGGAUUAAACAGGAUCAGAUCAUCAGAAACUAAAAAUGUCAACUAAUUGAGUUUUCAUUUUAGGCUUCUGAGUCAAAGAUUUCUUGGAAUAUUUAGCAACAUAUA
rnacentral:lncRNA from 1 species